rnacentral:lncRNA from 1 species
UGACAUUUUCUCUUUUAUUUUCUUUUAUUAAUCUUUUAUUAAUUCAUUUUUAUUUUAUUUUUACUUGAUGUUUUGAAUUGACUUGAUUACUUGGUUGAUGAUUUCUUCCACAUCUCAAAUAAUUGAUAGAUGGGUCAUACGUUGAUUCAACCUUCUUUGAUAAAAAAUUGUUGAUAGAUGAUCAUGAAUCCUCUUCAAUACUUUGCAUCAAUAAUAAGUUAAC